CGAGCGAAAGAGAAUCUCUGAUUGAUCGGGGCGCGAGUGUGUAGAGGAUGAAGUUUGGAUGAAAUGCAGAGGAUUUUGGAGGAUCGAGGCCUCAAGCUGCGAUUUCCAAAGCCCAGCAAAGAGAAAUGCCAGUGGCUGGAGGAAGUAUUAGAGGCAGCACGGAUUCUAGAGCUCAACGAGGUAAGAGUUCGUCAUUGCUCUAUCGAAGACUUGCUGUUUUCUUUUGUUUUUCUUCUUUGCUCUCAGACAGAAUGUUAUUUUCUGGAAGGCGAUGAAAGAGGCAUGAUCAGUGCUCGAAACGAAAUGGCGUCGUUCGAUCUUUGCUGGUUUCCAGCACUUAUUCCGAGCUCGAGAAAAUUGUUUUGAAAAGGCUGGAUGAAUUUGGCACUGAUGAAAGCAAUGUAGGCAACAUUGACAUAGCUGAUUUUGAAGGAUAUGGUAGAGGAGGGGCUGCAGCGUGCGAUUUAAAAGCUGGAGAUCUCGUCCUUGAGAUUCCCAGCGAGAUAAUUAUCUCUGAAACUGUCACGCUGGAGUCUGGUGAGUCGGAUUUCUGUUCGAUUCUCUCCGUGAAAAGUACUGGCGAGCAGUAGAUAGUUGUUGAAGUUUUCUGGGAGGGGAUUGUUCGUUUUCACGGGAUUCCUCAGGACAUUGUUUGGUCUAUUUUCUCCACUGAUCGUUCAAGAUUCUGAUCUACAAGAGCAUCUUCACGCCA